CCCAAACGCCGGUAAGUCUGGGGACCCCUGUUCUAGCAGGGCUCUCCCUGUUUAACCUCUCUGUUUGGCAAAGUGCUGAAUAUAAUGCUUUAAUUACUGAUUAAAAUCACUGUGGGCACUGCAUGAAACGAUGCUGAGUUUCAUCCAGUGGCAGUGCAAUUUUUAAGUCCAAGGCAGGGGAGACAUUAAUUGACAGUACUGCAAGAGUAAAAUAUUUUAUAAUGUCAGAUUAUAAAUAUAAAAAGCUGCUACGGAACUCAAGAUAUCCGUUUUUUGAAGGGUGUUGAUAGGAAGUUUUUAGCUCUGUCACUUGUGUUGACAUGGUACUUAGAAAAAUCUCUAUUUUUUAAAAAUGGAACACUUUAACUGUCAGAUGAUGAAAAGAUAGACUGCAUGAGUUUCCCCUCCACCCUUAACUCUUAAUAGCAGAAUAUAGCAAUAUAUACCUUUUUGAAAGUACAGCCAUCUUAAAAGGAUCAACUUAAAAUGGGCGCUUUCAAAGCUCUGUACAUAUAACAGUGUGAUUCAUCAUUCUUAUGGAUCGAAGAGCCACACUAAUACUUUAAGCAAUUUCCCCUUUAAAGAAUGUUUCUAACAUCUCCCCUUAGGGAAUUACUUUUUUAUGAGCUGCACAAUAUCCCCCGAAAAGAUUGGCUAAACAAAUCUGAUAGAGGCAGAAACGGACUUAAUCAAAACCAGGUGGAUGAUAUUUAUCUAUGAAUUUUUCUAAGUCUGAACAAUCUUGGUUUGAAUGUCUAGAUGCUACCCAAAAGGUUAAGCAAACCCGGAACAAAGUGAAUUUUGUGACACCUCCUUGACACUUUCAGUUCACAUUAAAGGGAAUGUUCAUGUACGUAGGGAAACAUCUCUCUCAUAAGACCAGGAUGCAGGGUCAUCCAAUGAAGCCAAAUGACUUCACAGAGAAGCCCAAACUUCAGGCACCCUUCUCCUUGCCCCUGCAUAAAACAGAUGAUUCUUUAAGAAGCAGAUAUAGGGUCUCCAGACUUUUACCAGAGGUGCCAGUAGAGGAAAAAAAUAUUAAGCACUGAGAGCAAUUGCAACUGCUGGACUUCCUCGUCUCCAUCCUUCCGUUUAUAUCUACCCAUUUUCCUCUGCUCACAGCAAGCAGACCUCUCACUUGGCCUGAAAGUGGGUGGGGGGAUGCGGUGCAAAGCCAAUCCUUUUGCACUUUGAUAUUCAACCUUCUUGCUGCAUUCUCCCCUUUCCGUUGGCUGCUCAACCUAUGCCGUUUCCUUGCUGUCAAAAUGACAGAUAUGACAAUCCCAUUAGGUAAAUACAUUUCAGAGACUGAUGACCUGUGGAAAAUGUAUAUGCUGCAAGGCAUCCAGCAAAGGUUUCAAAUCUUGCUGACUUCUAGUUUUCUUAAGGAAAUGUCACUAGAAACACCAACUGUUGGCUCAGCGGUCUUGUUCAUCUCCUCCUGUUCACAACUCCCUUUGUUUAAGCUUCUGAAGGACCACUUAAUACCACAUCCAACCAACUUUCUCUGUGAAUAUUACAGAACUGGUAAUAUCAGUCAAGAUCGCGAGGACAAAAUAAAUAAACGGUUAAAAACAAAAGAAAGGACAUGCUAUGAGAGGAAAGGGAAGAAAGAUGGCAAUAAAGCAGUGUGUAAGCAAUGCAUGCCAAAGAUCAGAUAAAAACUUUAAAAAGAAUAUCUAUACUAGAAUAUAUUUUGAGUGCAAGUUGAAAGGAAUAGGAUGGCCAACUAAGUCAUCCUUGGAGUUGAUCCAUUGCUAUCAAUGAACUUAAGACCACUUAUUUCAAUGAAUCUACUCCAAGAAUGACUAAUACUAGCUGUCACGCAGGGUCUGUUUUUAAUACAAAAAAAUAAACAAGGAACCAAUGUUUUUAUGUUGUUUUUCUAGCUGGCCACAGUCCCUUCCUUCUCCCUUUCAGUGUGUGCAGUUUUGCUAGGUCAGUUUCAACUAGAUAAUAAGUUCAGAUUGCAAAGAACUACAAUGGGAGAAAAUAACGUAUUUGCAAUUCUCUUACCGACUCGUGGGUAGCAUGUGUUGUGAAUGCCCUGAUGGCUGAGGCAGUCUUCCUUUAAGCAGGAUUUCCUGUAGCCCCCAUCUUCUAAUUUGGUUGCGCUGCCGCAUGUUGGGCAGAACUGAUACCGGCUAUCCCAUGCCAGGACAGAUCUAGCCUGGGCGAUGACUCCUUUAAAAAGUGACCACAAAGUGCAAAUAAUCAACAUGCAGGGUUCUUUAUACAGCACACAUUGCAACACCAGCAUUCCAAUUCACCAUGAAAAUCAAGAGAAGAACCGUCUCAUGUUAUGCUAUUAAAAGCUGAUACAGAAGUUCUCGUUCUAAUACUGUGUUACUUUUGGCUACUUUGGGUCUUUACAUAUGGGGGCAAUUUAGCUCAACAACAUCAUGGUUUCCAUAUCACUGAAAUGUUCCUGAUCAUGACCCAUGAGGUUGUGGUUCACGUAACCAGAAUGCUCCUGUGACAGGCAGCAGACAAGGGCAAUGGAAAAUCAGCCCUAACUUUCUUUAGCCAAGAGACAAAAUACGGCUGCAUCUUGAGGAGCAGCGGUAGAGAACAAGGAAGGAAAGAAGACAAGAAAGGCAAGCAAGGCACAUCAAGCUGUGUCCACAGCAGUGACUGCGAUAACCUUAUUCCUAGAACAAUAUAAUGGUUUUCGCUGAAGAAAUAUGCUCAAUAGAGGCAAUCCAGUAAGCAGUAACCUACAAUACAAACUGAAUGCAGAAAAACCUUGCUAGGCAUGAGAACUGCAAGGGAUUAAAUAAAACCAAACAGUUUUCUCCCAGCACUAAAAAGAGACAGGUAGGUAGUCGAGUUGGUGUGAUGCAGUCGAAAUAAAUCUCUGAAGAAGUGUGCAUGCACACAAAAGCUUAUAUCCAGAACAAGUUGGUCUCUAAGGUGCUACUGGACAAUUUAUU